rnacentral:rRNA from 1 species
UAGGGAAUCUUCGGCAAUGGACGAAAGUCUGACCGAGCAACGCCGCGUGAGUGAAGAAGGUUUUCGGAUCGUAAAACUCUGUUGGUAGAGAAGAACGUUGGUGAGAGUGGAAAGCUCAUCAAGUGACGGUAACUACCCAGAAAGGGACGGCUAACUACGUGCCAGCAGCCGCGGUAAUACGUAGGUCCCGAGCGUUGUCCGGAUUUAUUGGGCGUAAAGCGAGCGCGGUGGUUUAUUAAGUCUGGUGUAAAAGGCAGUGGCUCAACCAUUGUAUGCAUUGGAAACUGGUAGACUUGAGUGCAGGAGAGGAGAGUGGAAUUCCAUGUGUAGCGGUGAAAUGCGUAGAUAUAUGGAGGAACACCGGUGGCGAAAGCGGCUCUCUGGCCUGUAACUGACACUGAGGCUCGAAAGCGUGGGGAGCAAACAGGAUUAGAUAGC